GUCCCGACGGCGACCGCGACUCCUCUGACUCUAGCUUCUCCAGCGCAGGCGGAUUUUUACACCAACACAUAUCAAUAGAGAUGCUCAAAAUUAUGGAUAUAGGAUCCAUCUAGGAUUUUCGAUUCGGAUUCAACACUUGACCCAAAAUUUUAAUUUUAAGUUAAUCAUUUGUCAUUCAUUUGAGUUAGGUUGACCAAUUGUUAGAUUAAUCCUAAUUCAAUUAGAUCAACAUAGAUUCGAUCAACCAUGACUCAAACCCUAAUCAAAUUAGGUCAAUAAUAAUUAGAUCAACAUAAAUUAAAACAUGACUUGUAAUCAAAUUAAAACCAUGAAUUUAAUUUAAUC
rnacentral:lncRNA from 1 species